UACAGAGGUCUCAAGCGUUGUUCGGAUUCAUUGGGCGUAAAGGGUGCGUAGGCGGCGCGGUAAGUCGGGUGUGAAAUCUCGGAGCUUAACUCCGAAACUGCAUUCGAUACUGCCGUGCUUGAGGACUGGAGAGGAGACUGGAAUUUACGGUGUAGCGGUGAAAUGCGUAGAGAUCAGCAGGAAUACCCGUGGCGAAGGCGGCCCCCUGGGCCCUAAAAACCCUUUUCAUGGGAAACCAUGAGGAAACCUGACGCUGAGGCGCGAAGGCUAGGGGAGCGAA
rnacentral:rRNA from 1 species